rnacentral:rRNA from 1 species
UACGUAGGGGGCUAGCGUUGUUCGGAAUUACUGGGCGUAAAGCGCACGUAGGCGGAUCGAUCAGUCAGGGGUGAAAUCCCAGGGCUCAACCCUGGAACUGCCUUUGAUACUGUCGAUCUGGAGUAUGGAAGAGGUGAGUGGAAUUCCGAGUGUAGAGGUGAAAUUCGUAGAUAUUCGGAGGAACACCAGUGGCGAAGGCGGCUCACUGGUCCAUUACUGACGCUGAGGUGCGAAAGCGUGGGGAGCAAACAGG